CUUGCAACAGCGAAGGGGGUUGCUUUCCUUCUCUUUCGGCUUUUGUCGUUUCACGUUAAAACUUAACUAGUAAGAACCGGCGCCGACUUGGAGAAAAUCUGUUAAAAAAGUAAAAAACUCCGGGGUGAUGGCACCAUCCCCGUGGAGUGCUAGCAUUAGAAGGCAUCUUCUCCUGUGAAUCACUCAAGAUAUAGUGGACAACCACAACAGUAUGUGGAUUAAUUGACCCCAUUGGCAUAUUUAUGGAUCUGCUUUUGAUUUGUUCUCCAUUUCUGCAAAACUACCUAUGACUGGAUGAGAAUGCCUCGAACAAAACAAAUAAAUCCUAGAAAUUUGAGAGGUGAUACGUUAUUGCUGUGAUUCAACUAUAUAACUUUAAAGGGUUGAUAUUAGAACAUUAAAUUCAUAUUGAUGUCUACUACAUACUAUGUUGUCCUAUACUUACUGAAUGCAACCUGACUUAAAGCUUUUGUUGUGGACCCUGUGACAUUUGAAAUUGUUUUUUGUUGCUGCUUUUUUUAAAAACCAUUCCAAUUUCAACUGCUUUGUGUAACUUAAGUGAAUUGUACCCACUCCUCAUUUAGUGACUGAGUUCCAUUCCAACAACUAGGUUGUUAGUGAAAUGGUCGCUAAGUGAACAUGUGACUCAGAGAGAGCAAAGAUGUCUGGUUGCUCUCGUCUCGUUCAGAUAAAGUUCUCUUGUACCGCUAUGCCAGUGUUAGCUCUCACUCCAGCAUGAGUUGUUGUCAGGUGCCCAAAAUUUGGUCAUACAUGCACACAUUGGUUGGAAAAUGAAUUUUUUAUUACCAUCCUAUUUGUGAAUGGUUGCUAACUGAGGUAGUCACUAACUGAGGAAUGGGUAUAAGGAAUAAGCAAAAAUAGAGUAGCAAACACUACACAAACAAUAGGGAUUGUAGAAGAUUUUUUGGCUUU